rnacentral:lncRNA from 1 species
UUAAGGGUGAGACGAAUCAAAAUCUAAUGGUUUUUCAUGUCCUUCACUUUUCAGGCGGAGUAAUGGCGGUGGAGGGGAUUUUGAGGUCUACCAUGGUUUAGAAAAGAUGAUGGAAGAGAUGUAAAGUUGACAUGAGAAGGAUAUGAUUGAUGGACGGCGUGGGGAGAUAUAUUGAUGACCACCGGAAAUUGCCAUUUUCCAGUGGUCUGUAGGUGGAAACG